rnacentral:lncRNA from 1 species
GUGGCGAUUAGGCCUGGUGGAACUGCCAUCAAUAAAUCAAGCAUGAUCAGGGUGAGGAACAGGAAAAAAGGAAAUAUGGGGAAAUGGGGUGAAUGUCAGGUGGAUCGGAGAGAUACAGUCAUGGGGGUCAGGUGUGGUAUCAGGAAUAAUGUGGGAGGCCAGAUUGAGGUCCGGGCCAGGAACAAUGGUAAUUGUGGGAGUUAACAAAGAGUGAGUACAGCUGAAGGAGCGGGGGAGCAGAAAGUAUAUGCAUCAGGUAUGAGGAAGAAAAUAAUUUUGGAAGUUAUGAGAAAUGUAGAGAGUGAGUUGAGCAUAGUUUGUGAUUUUUAGGGCCUCUAAAAGUAUUAAAGCAGUGGCAGCCGCUGCACGCAGACAUGAGGGCUAGGCUAAAACAGUAAAGUCAAGUUGUUUGGACAGAAAGGCUACAGGGGGCGGUCCUGGCUCUUGGGUAAGAAUUCUGACUGCACUAACCAUGCCUAGGAAGGAAAGGAGUUGUUGUUUUGUAAGGGAUUGAGGUUUCGGAGAUUAAUCAGACACGAUCAGCAGAGAGAGCAUGUGUAUUUUUAUGAGAGUUAUGCCGAGAUAGGUAACAGAUGAGGAUGAAAUUUGGGCUUGACUGAAGUAAUGGGGGAUGUCUGUGAAGCCUUGAGGCAGUACAGCCUAGGUAAUUUGCUGAGCCUAAUGGGUGUCAGGGUCAGUCCGAGUGAAAGCGAAGAGAGGCUGGGAUGACGGGUGCAAAGGAAUAGUAAAGAAAGCAUGUUUGAGAUCCAGAACAGAAUAAUGGGUUGUGGAGGGAGGUAUUGAGGAUAGGAGAGUAAAUGGGUUUGGCACCACAGGGUGGAUAGGCAAAACAAUUUGGUUGAUAAGGCAUAGAUCCUGAACUAACUUGUAAGGCUUGUCUGGUUUUAGGACAGGUAAAAUGGGGGAAUUGUAAGGAGAGUUUAUAGGCUUUUAAAGGCCAUGCUGUAGCAGGCGAGUGAUAACAGGCUUUAAUCCUUUCAAAGCAUGCUGUGGGAUGGGAUAUUGGCGUUUAGUGGGGUAAGGGUGAUUAGGUUUUAAUGAGAUGGUAAGGGGUGCAUGAUCGGUCACCAAGGAGGGAGUAGAGGUAUCUUAUACUUGUGGGUUAAGGUGGGGGGAUACAAGAGGAGGAUGCAAAGGAGGCUUUGGAUUGGAAAGAAGGGUGGCAAUGAGAUGUAGCUGUAAUCCAGGAAUAGUCAGGGAAGCAGAUAAUUUAGUUAAAGUGUCUCGGCCUAAUAAGGGAACUGGGCAGGUGGGGAUAACUAAAAGGGAUUGCAUAAAGGAGUAUUGUCUAAGUUGUCACUAGAGUUGGGGAGUUUUAAGAGGUUUAGAAGCCUGGCUGUCAAUACGCACAACAGCUAUGGAGGCAAGGGAAACAGGCCCUUAAAAAUAAGGUAAUGUGGAGUGGGUAGCCUCCAUAUUAAGAAGAGGACGGACUUAUCCUCCACUGUGAGAGUUACCUAAAGCUCGGCGUCCGUGAUGGUCUACAGGGCUUCCGAGGCGAUCGGGCAGUGUCAGUCUUCAGCUGUUAAGCUGAGAAGAUCUGGGAAGGAGUCAGUCAGAGAGCCUUGGGCCAGAGUUCCAGGAGCUCUGGGAGUGGCUGUCAGAAAUGGCCAAUUUCUUUCAAAUGCUGUAUACUGGAAAAAUCCAAAGGACUCAUCAGAUGAACACAUUUCAAAGAGCCACUACCAAUUUUUUUUCUUAAGCAAAGCAUCAAGCCUCUGAUUUGCCGCUGAUAAAUUCUCUAAAUAAGCACUUGGAACAGAAAGGAGCUCUACCCAACUACCCGGAAUGCAGGCGGGCCUGGGACUAUGUGACUACCACCCUCUAAGUGAGGUUUUGAAAAUAAACACUUGAAAGUCUGCCCAGAUU